GAGGUUUUUCCAUGUAACAUCAACAGAAAGCAAAGCUGUAUCAAAUAGGGCCAAAUUCAAGAAGAUGCCAGUGAAGCACUAGGGCACAGCCUUGAUCACAAACCCCAAAGGAAUACUACUUUAAAUUUUAAAACUGCUCAAUUAAUAUGAAUAAGUGAGGUGGUUUGUGUUUGCUUAGUACAAUGCAAAUCACUGAGGAUGUUUGCAGGAAACCUGUUCUCCUUGAUAACUCCUGCUGUCUCUGCAACACCUGCAAAGAUCUUUCCCUGCUAGAGGAGAAACAAGUGGCCUAGAAGAAAAGAGUUCCUCUUUUCCCAACUAUCUGGGACACUUUAAAUAAUGUUGUUUCAAAAUGACAAGAAUGGCGACAUGUUUAUAUCUGCUGUUCCUUUUUGGGUUGGCCUCAUGAGGCAGUUCUUACUGUCAAAUCUUCCACAGCAGGAUGUGUGCACAGAAGAUUACUGCAGGCACUACCCAGAGGAUUAAAAAAAUACAUAUUACAUAUCAUAGGAAAACAGGACAGCUCUUCUAUGUUCUCCGUAGAGGGUCAGAAAUAGGAUGUGUUAUACACCUAGGUUUAUGUCUGCACAGUUUAUGUCCUGCAGCAUGCUGAUUUGAAUAUAUUUAAAGGAAACAAGAAGGAGUUAUGUGGUGGGAGAAAGGUAAAGAAAUAAAAUUAAGUGACAGGUGUAUAUUAGUUUGCUAGGGCUGCAGUAAUAAGGAACCAUGAAUUGAGUGGCUUAAAACAUCAGAAAUGUAUUGUCUCAUGGUUCUGGAGGCUAGAAGUUCAAGAUCAAGUUGCCGGCAGGGUUGGGCCCUUCUAAAGACUGGGAGCGACACUGUUUCAUGCCUCUCCCCUAGCUUCUGAUGGGUAGCUGGCAAUCUUGGCAUCUUCUGGCUUGUAGACACAUUAUCCUGAUCUCUGCUAUUAUCUUCACAUGAAGUUCUCAUGAUGUUCUCCCUGUGUGUCUAUCUGUGUGUCCAAAUUUCACCUAUUUAUGAGGACACCAGUCAUAGUGAAGUCACUAUGACCUCGUCUUAACUCAUUAAAUUUGCAAUGUUCUAUUUCCAAAUAAGGUCACAUUCUGAGGUACAGGGAGUUAGGACUUCAACAUAUGAAUGAGGACUGGGGGGUAGCACAAUGCAACCCAUGCCACAGGUGCUUUAUUCAUGUUAGCUCAUUUAAUCUACAAAACAAUUCCAUAAGAAAGAAGACCAUGUUUCUCUUCUUAGUGAUAAAGAAGUGGAAGCUCAGUAAGGUGAAAUGAUUUGGCCAAAUGGCAUUGUCUUAGUCUAUUUGCAUUGCUAUGAAGAAAUGUCUGAGGCUGGGUAAUUUAUAAGGAAAAGAGGUUUAUUUGGCUCAUGGUUCUGCAGGCUGUAGAUAGACUGAAGCAUAGACAGCAUCUGUUUUCUGGUGAGAGCCUUGAGCUUCUUCUACACAUGGUGUAAGGUGAGGGAGGGCCAGCGUGUUCAGAGAUCACAUGAUGAGAAAGAAAGGAAGCGAUCAGGAUUGGGAGGUGCCAGGCUCUUUUUAACAACCAGCUCUCUUGGGAACUAAUGGAAUGAGAACUCAUUACCACAAGGACAGUAUGAAGCCAUUCUCAAGGAAUCUGCCCCAUGACCCAAACAUCUCCCAUUAGGCCCCACCUCCAACACUGGGGAUCAACUUUCAACAGGAGAUUUGGAGGGGUCAAACAUCCAAGUUAUAGCAUGCAUAGACAGCAAGGAUGGAGCUAACAUUUCAGCCUGUAUUUAAUCACCCAGUCCAUGCCCUUUCCACUACAUACUGCUAACCUGAACUAUCAAGGCCAUAGUAAAAUGCUUGGGUGCCUAGUCUACCUGUUGCCACUGACAACAAUUAUGAAGUAUUAGUCCUUCAUAAUAUAAAGGUUCUUCUGAAGCUCCAAGCAUCAGUAAAGCAGGACUGUAUGUCACAGGUAUAGUGAUCAGAGGUGCCACACCCUGGGUACCAGCUACUUACCCCCAAAGCAGUGUGAAUACCAAGUAAGGAUGGUAUUAAAGCCAGCAACAGCUUCCAGUUCAAGAGAUUCUAAAUGCCAGAGAAAGAAGCAGAUGAGGGAGAAAAAUGGAGGUUGAGCAUCCCUAAUCCAAAAUGUUCCAAAAUCUGAAACUCUUUGCACACCAACAUGACAUCACAAGUGGAAAAUUCCACAUCUGAACUCAUGUGAUGGGUCGUAGUCAAAACAUAGUCAAAACUUGGUUUCAUGCACAAAAUUAUUAAAAAUAUGGUAUAAUAUUAUCCUCAGGCUAUGUGUGUAAGUUAUUAUAUGAAACAUAAAUUUCAUGUUUAGACUUGGGUGCCAGUCACAAAAUAUCUCCUAUGUAUAUGCAAAUAUUCCAAAAUCCAAAAACAUCUGAAACCCGAAACACUGCUAGUCCCAAGUAUUUUAGAUAAGGGAUACUCAACCUUUACAUUCUACAGCUAGCACUAGAGAGCUUUCUUAAAUUAAGGCAAGCUUAAUCGGGAAACAAAAAUGGUCUUUCUCUCAAACAUUUCAUAUAAGACAUUUUCUUUUGUUACUUGGCAUAGGGCCCAAAUAGCAUUUCACCUUUUAGAUAUGGUUUAGAUAAAGAGGAUUUGAUUCUUAUUAACAGAGUUCCCAGCAAUUAGAGAGUACAUUUUUUUUUUCACCAAGAAGGAAAAAUUACAAUAAUUUCAUUCCUUGCAGGGGGCUAUGGAGUUCUUAAUUGUUUGAUUUGUAAGUCUGAAAUUUCAUGGGAUUUCCCAAUUAAAUAUCUAAUUUAUCUUUUAUAUUUAAAAUGAACAAGGUAUGAUCACUGCCCUUAUGAAGUCCCUGGAUUGGAAUUAUGCUUGGUUACUUCUGCAAGCAUCCUCUUGCCUGGCAGGAAACAGCUACAUGAAAUUUGAUAAACUGAUCUUAGCUAGAAGCAGGAUAGAAGGAAACAAAAGGAAGGAAAUUCCUAGAGUGGGAGCUGGAGAAAACUGGUCUGAUUUAGAACUUCUUGCCCCACAAUUCCUAUCAGUAUUCCAUCACUGGCCUUCCAGACUUGCUAUCUGUAUUGGUAUUUCAUGACUUACCCCACCCUCUCUACAACCAUUCCAUAAUAUCUGCUCUGGGCAUUCCAAUACCAGAUACAGACCUGGCCCAGGAUUGUCCUGCUGUCCCCUAGAAGUUAUGCCAAUCCUUGACUGCAAUAAAUUUAAAUGCAUUUUCAGAAGGACUACCAGGUGCUAAGCAAUAUAGAAAAGAGAACAAAAUGAUUAUAAUAUGCCCUUUAUUCCCAGCAGGCUCAUAAUCUAGUAGAAAAACUAGAGAUUUAAACCAAUCAUAACAAUCCAACAAUAAUGUAUUGAUUGGAUUGACAGGGUGAAACAAGAAGAACAGAUUAAGUUAUAAUUUUCUGAGAUCCUGCUUUGUACUCAUCACUUUUUAAAAUACCAGUCACUUUAUUUAUAUGCUUUACUUUACUGCCUUGAGUCCUCUGAACAGCUCUGUAGGUGAAGUACAGGAGAAGGUCUGUUAGGCUCACCACUGCUUUGGAUUGACCCCCACUCUUCUUUCUCACUAUCUGAUGCUGGCUCUACUCCGAACAGGAAUGCCAGGAAGGCUACUUGAUUUCUGUUUCAAUCAAAAACCUAUGUUAGACGCUUACUAAGAAUCUCAUACACUUCUGUUCCCAAAUUUGUUUAUGAUAAUUGUACUAGUUGGGAUAGUAUAUAAUUAGUUAGGUAUGUUGUAAGUCAGGGAAACAUGAGUACAGAAAUAAAGGAAGUUAUUUCUAUGAAAAAUGAAGUUCAAGUUCAAUAUUUAAAAAUAAUUUUAAAAGGGUAACUUGUUAAAACAAAAUGCUACUCUCCAUGACUCCCCCAACAGAGCACACGGACUCAGAAGGACGCGACAUUUUGGUUACUUUCCAAGUGCUUUAAGAUCCUUACUCCACUUUAAAGAAAUCAAAACUGGAAAUCAAAGAAUAUAUGUUUUAUGCUUAUACACUUCAUUACCAAGAGGCAGCACUCCAAUUAGCAAACUGUAUUCCAAUGUCAAGAAAAGUCCUUAUGCUAACUUGUGAUAAAAAGAUCUAUAACUGGAUGUACAUUUAUAUUUCCAGUUGAAAUAAAAUUUAAAGAAAGGCAGGGUUUUUUUUUAUUAUUUCAGACUUUAAAUUUUUUUUUUUUUUUUGAGUACCUGACAAACUACAGGUUCCAAUCUUCUCUGAUAAGUGCUAUUAGCAGGAAGAUUUCUCUGUUGGGUUAACAUACUAUCAGCUAAGGAACUCUGGGGGAGCCUUCCUGCAAAGUAGGUCAAUUCUUUGCCAUAUAAUUCUGAUUAUGUCAAGGAAUUUAUUCAUGAGUUUUCUAAUUCAACCCACUUCAAAUAGAGCCGUAUUUAUAUAACCACAAAAAAUUACAUCCAAAUUACAACUAUAGGAUGUAGCUCCUUGGUGAACACUAGGAAAAUAUUAACCAUUUACAUGGCGUAUCUGCUCUGAAAUAAUAGGGCUAUAAAAUAGCAUAACAAUGGCUAAACUUGGAGACUUUCUCAGAAAGAUAACAGUCCUCUGGUACAAAUUCCAGAUGAUUCAGGUGCUUGCUAUCUGCUAACAGAAUUCUUAUGCUAUUGGACAAUGCAGAGCGUACCAGGUACUGGGCGCUUUGCUAAAAACCCAUCAAAAUGGCAGCCCCAGUAAAGCCACAUUUUCAGGAAAGGCAGUACUUCCAGGCUGAUAUUCUGAGUAGACUGGAUUUUCCCGUUUGAUUUUUUCUCUCUGGUUAAAAGCAUUAUAGCAUAGCAGUUUAUUACCACAUAGACAGACCUGGGUUCAAAUGCAGACUUUGUUAUAUUAUAGGUGUGUAAUUUUAAGUUAUUGACCCUUUCUAAAGCAAAGCUACACCAUCCAUAGUGUGGCAUAAUAAGAGGUACUUCAUGGGACUGCUGCAAGGGUCAAACAAGAGGCUGUAUAUUAGGAUGGGGGUAUUCUCAGCUUCCCUCAGUGGUCCUUUAUGACAUUUUAGUUUCAGCAUUAACCAAUGUUAUAGAAUAUCCUUCUGUAUUGUAUUAGUCCGUUUUCAUGCUGCUGAUAAAGACACACCCAAGACUGGGCAAUUUACAAUUGAAAGAGGUUUAUUGCACUUAUAGUUCCACCUGACUGGGGAGGCCUCACAGUCAUGAUGGAAGGUGGAAGGCACAUCUCACAUGGCAGCCAACAAGAUGGCUUGUGCAGGGAAACCCCCGUUUUUAAAACCAUCAUAUCUCAUGAGACUCAUUCACUAUCAAGAGAACAGCUCAUGAAAGACCCGCCCCCCACAAUUCAAUCACCUCCCACCAGGUUCCUCCCAUGACACAUGGGAAUUGUGGGAGUUACAAUUCAAGAUGAGAUUUGGGUGGGGACACAGCCAAACUGAAUCAUAUAUUAAACGAAAACCCCUCCACCAUAAUCUGAAUCUUGUUUUAGAUGAUUAUAUUCUUUUCUUGGUACAUGAUAUGUAAAAUCUGUAUUACUAGGACAAUUUGGCUGAUUUGCUUCACUAACAUUGGGAGGGAUUGAAUGCUAAAGGUCUAGUAAAAUCUGGAUCCUUCUGGUUAUGGGCAAAGAUUUGCAAGCAAACUCACCUGGAGAAGAGAGGAGACCUUCUGGGGGCAAACAUCUCCAAGUAAUAAGGUCACAGGGGCAGGAUGAGGAAGCGGUUUAUCUAUCUUUCUAAUAUGAACUUUGUCCAUGGAGAAUAGCAGAAAAUGCCACCCAAAAAAGAACACUUUGGCAUAAGGAUUAUUUUGAGCUAAAGGAAGAAGCAGAUAAAAAAAAGAAGCAGCAGCAGAUAUAAAAAAAAAAAAAAAAAAAAGCCCUCAGACUACCCACAUUUGCCUAAAAGCGGGACAUAAAUUUGUAAAUGUGUCCUCCCCUCUACCCACCAGCAGGGACAGAAGUCCAUCACCAAGACAACUUAGCCCUAAGAUCACUCCAAAGGAAUCUACAUAGCUGACUUUAUCAACCAGCACUUACCUUCUAUUAAUUUCCCUAUAUAUUUAACUUUCUGUGAUUUGCUGCCCUAGAAAAUCAGUCCUUUUCCCUUAUCUUGUCACUAUUCUAAAAUUUUAUUGUUCUUUGUUAAGAUGUUAUAUACAUACACCCAAGUUCUAACCACCCCUUUGAGUCAGUCAUCUUUGAGCACUCCCAUGUUGUGUAGGAUAAACAGGUUAAUAAACUUGCAUUUGCUUUUCUCUUGUUAAUCUGUCUUUUGUCAGCCUAAUUUUCCAGGCUCCAACCUGAGAAACUAGGAGGGUAGAGGGAAAAAAAGAUGUUUUUCCUCCCCUAUAUUUACAAUGUCCACAUAGAAUUAGGUAGUAGACAUCCAGGCACUGAAGCCAUAAUAAAAGCUCCCAUGACUCUGCAAACCAAAGCAGUCUUUGCCUUUUCUCUUAUUUCACUCAAGAACUCUAAAGCGCAUGGCCAUGGAAAAGGACACUAGUAAUAAGUUACGGAAACUACUCAGUCCAGUAUCUGGGCAGAAUCACUAUUCCAUAUAAGUUUUUCCGGGAUGAAAAAAAGGAAAGAAAAAUAAAGGCUACCCUGCAAGAGCCCCCUUUGUUAACACACACUGUUUGCAUCCUGGCUCAAGUGUGAAUCCUCCUACCAAGCUGUAAAUCUUCACUCCUGCUUUUCUACAGAAUCCAAGAACAACUUUGUUUGCAAACUUGCUUUGGAAAUGAGAGUGAGGUAAGUUUUCCAGUGUCUGACAGCUAGGAAGUACCAGGACACUGUAUCUCAAAGACUCCAAGUUGAGACCUUUCCUGUGUGCCACAAUGCCGGAACAAACUCCCUCCCCGAGUACGAGAUUCCAGAAGCAGAACCGUGGACAAUUUUUAAACUCAGAAAGCCUCCUGUGGAGUUGGGACUCACAGCUCACAGCCACGAAAUCACUGUCCAUUAACUGUUUGGUUUCCUGAGAGCAGAGAUUAGGGAUCCUCAGUCUUGCCUGUAUAUCAAUACCACCUGGGACCACUCAGACCAGGUGAAUCAAUGUCCCUGCAGGUUGGGCCCAGGUAAUGGUUUAUUACGUGUUCUAUGUAAGUUUAGGGUAUAACCAAGUGGUUAGAAUUACUAACUAAAUCAAACCUCUUUACUGACCAAUUACAUUAGAAUGUAAAUUCUC
rnacentral:lncRNA from 1 species